rnacentral:rRNA from 1 species
CCUACGGGGGGCAGCAGUGAGGAAUAUUGGUCAAUGGACGAGAGUCUGAACCAGCCAAGUAGCGUGAAGGAUGACUGCCCUAUGGGUUGUAAACUUCUUUUAUAUGGGAAUAAAAUGUUCCACGUGUGGGAUUUUGUAUGUACCAUAUGAAUAAGGAUCGGCUAACUCCGUGCCAGCAGCCGCGGUAAUCCGGAGGAUCCGAGCGUUAUCCGGAUUUAUUGGGUUUAAAGGGAGCGUAGGUGGAUUGUUAAGUCAGUUGUGAAAGUUUGCGGCUCAACCGUAAAAUUGCAGUUGAAACUGGCAGUCUUGAGUACAGUAGAGGUGGGCGGAAUGCGUGGUGUAGCGGUGAAAUGCUUAGAUAUCACGAAGAACUCCGAUUGCGAAGGCAGUUCACUGGACUGCAACUGACACUGAGGCUCGAAAGUGUGGGUAUCAAACAGGAUUAGAUACCCCGGUAGUC